UACGUAGGUGGCAAGCGUUGUCCGGAUUUAUUGGGUUUAAAGGGUGCGUAGGCGGUUCCAUAAGUCAGUGGUGAAAUACGGCAGCUCAACUGUCGAGGUGCCAUUGAUACUGUGGAACUUGAGUACAGACGAGGUAGGCGGAAUUGACGGUGUAGCGGUGAAAUGCUUAGAUAUCGUCAAGAACACCGAUAGCGAAGGCAGCUUACUAGACUGUAACUGACGCUGAGGCACGAAAAGUGUGGGGGAUCAAAACAGG
rnacentral:rRNA from 1 species